UUUUUAAUAAGGUUGGCUAGGGGCUUAUCGAUUUUAUUUAUUCUUUCAAAGAACCAACUCUUUGAUUCGUUGAUUCUUUGGAUUGUUUUCUUAGUCUCUAUUGCAUUGAUUUCUGCUCUGAUUUUUAUAAUUUCCUCUCUUCUUUUGGCUUUGGGCUUGACUUGCUCUUCUUUUUCUAGCUGUUUGAGGUGUAGCAUCAAGUUAUUUAUUUGUAUUCGUUCUGUUUUCCUGAUGUGGGAACUCAGUGCAAUAAAUUUUCCUCUCAGAACGGCUUUCAUUGCAUCCCACAGAUUCCGAGCAUCUGGCAAACAUAAACUUGGAAGUAUGGAAGAACAUUCAUGUUAACAAUGGCUACUUUCCAAAGAACAGUAAGGGACAUAUAUUUAAAAAACAACAACAAAAGCACAAACCACAGUCGUCUGCCACAAAAGUAAUGACUGUGGGAAUCACAGAGGACGGUGAUAAUGAGCGGAAGGCUGGGCCUUGAAGACAUGCCAGUGACAUUAAUUUAAUGAGGACUCAAUUAUAAAAACAAAGAUGACUUUCACUUCUAUUUUUAAUUGUAUGUAUGAAAAGUAAACCUUGGAAAUAUGAAAGAACCAAAUAAAGUCACCAAAUAAGAAUAACUUAAACUCCUUUUCUGAUCUUCGUUUUGGAGGAAUAGAACAGAGACUCUUUUGGCAGGCAAUAGAUAAAUAUAAGCAAACCGCAAGCCCUUGAUUUUGCCAUAAGUGGCAAAAUGCAUGAUGGAAACAAGUCUGAGAGAGUCUGAGUUGAUAAACAUGGAGGCAAUUAUUGUUCUUAUUUAUUGGCUUCUAAAGCACAUCUUGCUUAAUACAAGGUGCUGUCAACAAAACAGAAGAUCUACUACAACCCCGCAAUGGAGAUAGUCUGAGAGGACAGAGCCAGGCAAAGCAUGCUCAGCUCCUUCAGAAAAGAAAGCAUUGUACUGGGAGUCGUGUGCAUAAAAGUUUCACUAAAUGAGGAUGACAAU